ACAUAAGGGCAUAACCUGUAAACAUUAAGAAGAGGAAGGGAGCAGUGAACUGUGGUCUGUCGAUUAGUAACCGACAUCUUUUUAAUCUACAGUAGGCUUAAGAUAAGUCACACCAAAUACAGAUCAUGGGAAUGGUGUGGUCAGUGUUGGACUGGUUGUGGCCAGUCGUGGAGAGACUUGUGGGUUUAUAUACAGGCUCACGGACACGAACAGUCGCCGAUAGUAACAGUGUUGUAACUGACAGAACAAUCAAAAAUAUGAAAGGAAAAAACCUCAACAUGGCGGUUGAAACAGUGAGUGAUGCAGGAAGUGGUCCGAGUGGAAAAGCUGCUGGAGAAUCAGCGCAGGCAGAUUGCUCUGCACGUGGCGGCAGUGUGAUUUGUACUGAUCAUAUAUCUCAUGUUAAUGUUGAUGGUGAUAUCAAUUUGUCAGUGACUGUGAAACCAAAGCAAAUCCUAACACUGCUUUCCUCUCUCAGGUAGAGUAGACGAGACACCACCGUACUCUCAGGGCCCAGGGUUCCUCCAACUCAACUCAUCACAAGACCCGCUCCACAUUCCAUCAUCAUCUGUUACCAGAUCUUCAGCCAGCUCUCUUCCCCACCACCAGUGUCUACUCAGGCUGUUCCCUUGCUUAUAUUAAGAGGAAGACACUCAAUAGGGCGUCCCUAUAAGCACCGUCAUCCAUGUAGCCCGGCUGUGGUUAGGCACACCCAAUUGAGUGACUUCCUUUUAAAAGUAUUUUUAGCAUUUACUGUUUUUUUUCUGGGAAUGUUAAUUAAGUGUUGUUACAAAACUAUGUUUACUAUGUAUGUGUUUGUGGUGC